rnacentral:lncRNA from 1 species
CAAAAUUAUUUGACUGCAUCGACCUAAAACUGAUCUGCAUAUGUGCACUUUAAUUUAAAAAUCUAUAUAUAUCCGCAUAGUAAAUCAGCCAUAUUUUAGAUGUCUGGAUUCAAUGUAUAAAAUAAAUGACCGCUGUUGGGAUGGCGCUUAAUUAUGUCUUCUCCUGGCACUCCUGUGAACAUGUUAGUAGGACGGCAAAUAUAAGCAAUAAGCAUGAUAAGGAAAACAAUUAAUGCAAUUUUUUUUCCGCAUACAUUGAGAAUGUCAGCGUUUCAUCUCUGUAUUCAUAAUAUUGAACAGUCACUAGGGUGUGUGAAACGAAACUAUUAGGCCGCAUCAUCCAAGUACAUGUACCAACACUGACA